GCCUGGGUGGCUUAGUCGGUUAAGCAUCCGACUUCAGCCAGGUCACGAUCUCGCGGUCCGUGGGUUCGAGCCCCGCGUCAGGCU
rfam:Felis catus isolate Cinnamon breed Abyssinian chromosome B1, whole genome shotgun sequence.